rfam:Danio rerio chromosome 9 genomic contig CTG875, GRCz11 reference primary assembly.
UGUCACAGCCAUAUCACACUGUAGCCUAAGACCGGUUACUUACUGAAGCUAAGCUUCAAGGCUGAGCCUGGCCAGUACCUGGAUGGGAGACUACAUGGGAAAACUAGGUUGCUGCUGGAA